rnacentral:lncRNA from 1 species
AAAACCAACUCAAUAGCAGCAUACACUGUUCCAUCGUCUUCCUCACUUAAAUCAAACAUUUCAAGAAUAAAACUUAUACUCCAUCCUCUUAAUAAAACUCAACACUCAAUAAACACAACAUGAUAAAUGCAAAUCCAUUAAAACCAAAAGCAAACAAGCACCUAAAAAAUCAAGAAUAAACUCAAAUGUGAACCAUACAGGAAACGAAAACAAACGAAAUGACAAAUGGUUGAAAUUGAACUUGGUACAGUUUAGCUUAGUUGUUCACAUUGAGGGUGGGAGAAGUUUGUGUUUCAUGCACAAUUUUCGCAUGAUGAGUGAAGGGAAGGAGAGAGCAGAGGGUUUGUGGCGGAUGGAGCAGAAGAAGAAGCUCAUGGUGUGUUUGCUUACAUGGUUGUUUGGAGGUUCUUAAGAAGGUGGAGUGUUUGAGGAGGUGAUGGAAGUAAGGAGGAGGUUUUAUGGUGUGUCCUGGUUGGAGUGGUAAGGGGGGAAGACGAAGCAGUAGCCGAGUAGAGGCAGUUGUUUAAGUUUUUUUGGUUUGUGUGAGAAGGUGAGGAUGGAGUUUGAAGGUAAGGUUUUAGGUGGUUGAAAGUGAGAGGAGUAAUGGAGGAGGAGAUGAUAGAAGAGAAGGCUGAAGCGUUAAUGAUGGAUUAAUGGUUGAAGGGGUUUUUGGUUUAAGUUGAAUGGUGGAAGGAAUAAGAAGGUGUUGUUGAAGAUGGAAACAGGGAGAAGAUGGAGGGAGGUCGUUGGUGGUGUGUAGGGUGUCACGUGAAACAACAGCGUCAGGUUUCGAAAUUGUAAGAAGAAAACAAAAUUUCACGUGAAUAGUGAUUCAUUAAGUUAUCUUCUUUUGAUUCUUGAAGAAGGAUACAAUUUUUUGAGAUCUUCCCCCUAAUCCAUGAGGAUGCGACGCUUUGCCUCUUAUUGGUUCCCUCAAAUUCAUGCAAUGCAUCACAUAUAUACCCUAGGGUUUUUUCUAAGUUUGAAAAAUACAUAAAUUCCCCUCAUAUUUUUUAAAAAUGACAACAAAUGAAACUAAAAUGAAAAAUAAAAUAAAAAAUUCUAAGUAAAUUUUAACAAAUCAAAAGAAGGUUUAAUUAAUUAUAUAUUUUUUUUCUAAAUACAUAGAUGAAAAGGAAAAAUAAAACGAAUAAAAAUGAAUAAAAAAUGGGCAUGAAAAUACUCGAAAGAUUAAGAUGAUUGCACCAUAAUAAUCAUUGCAAAAUAAACUUCCCGGAAACAUUCAUUUUUUUGUCAAAUUUUAAAAUAGAAAUUUCCCGGUUGAAACGCUCAGACGGAUCAAAAUGUGUUCCAGAAAAGUAGCCAAAAAAUAAACCAAACACACCUGGUUAAACUAUGUGAAACAUAGAUUAAUAAAACUGAUAUCUGCCAGCUCGAUUUAG